AUGGGUGGCAAGUGUAAGGGCAGCCCUGUGGGGUGUUUCCUGCUCGCCGGGCUUCUGCUGGUGGCCGGACGGGAACUGAAGCAAGAGGAAGAAGACUGCAUAGACAAAUGCCUGGCAGAAAGCCCCGAGGAGGACUUCCCCCAGUGCUUUGCGCUGUGCCCGCACAGUGCUGUGGAGGAGAGCGGCGGCGGAAACAACGGCCGUACAACGGACUGCGUGGGCUGCUGCCGGGAGCACGAAGGCGAUGAUAGCGAGAGGAAGCGGUGCAUGAUAACCUGCAGCUGGAACCGCCUUGUGGAGGAGAGCGGCACCAGAAACAUCGUCCGUACGAUGGACUGCGCGGCCCACUGCGUGAGGUACGAAGGCGAUGAGAGGGCUGCGUAA
rnacentral:rRNA from 1 species